CCUACGGGGGGCAGCAGUGGGGAAUAUUGCACAAUGGGGGAAACCCUGAUGCAGCGACGCCGCGUGAGGGAAGAAGGAUCUCGGUACGUAAAGCUCUAUCAGCAGGGAAGAAAAUGACGGUACCUGACUAAGAAGCCCCGGCUAACUACGUGCCAGCAGCCGCGGUAAUACGUAGGGGGCAAGCGUUAUCCGGAUUUACUGGGUUUAAAGGGAGCGUAGACGGCAGCACAAGUCUGAAGUGAAAUCCCGGGGCUUAACCCCGGAACUGCUUUUGAAACUGUGCGGCUGGAGUGCAGUAGGGGUAAGCGGAAUUCCUGGUGUAGCGGUGAAAUGCGUAGAUAUUAGGCGGAACACCGGUGGCGAAGGCGGCUUACUAGACUGUAACUGACGUUGAGGCACGAAAGCGUGGGGAGCAAACAGGAUUAGAUACCCCAGUAGUC
rnacentral:rRNA from 1 species